AGUGGAAUUGCUGGGUUGUAUACUAAGCGUAUGUUUGACUUUUGAAGUAACUGCUAAACUGUUUUUCAAAGUGGUUGUACUAUUUUACAUUCUCACCAGUAAU
rnacentral:pre_miRNA from 1 species